GAAAGCCUGAUCCAGCCAUGCCGCGUGUGUGAAGAAGGUCUUCGGAUUGUAAAGCACUUUAAGUUGGGAGGAAGGGCAUUAACCUAAUACGUUAGUGUUUUGACGUUACCGACAGAAUAAGCACCGGCUAACUUCGUGCCAGCAGCCGCGGUAAUA
rnacentral:rRNA from 1 species